rnacentral:rRNA from 1 species
UCUACGGGAGGCAGCAGUGGGGAAUUUUGGACAAUGGGGGCAACCCUGAUCCAGCCAUGCCGCGUGAGUGAAGAAGGCCUUCGGGUUGUAAAGCUCUUUCGGCCGGAACGAAAUCGCGUACGUGAACAACGUGCGUGGACGACGGUACUGGAAGAAGAAGCACCGGCUAACUACGUGCCAGCAGCCGCGGUAAUACGUAGGGUGCGAGCGUUAAUCGGAGUUACUGGGCGUAAAGCGUGCGCAGGCGGUUCUGCAAGUCAGAUGUGAAAUCCCCGGGCUUAACCUGGGAACUGCGUUUGAAACUACGGAGCUAGAGUACGGCAGAGGGGGGUGGAAUUCCACGUGUAGCAGUGAAAUGCGUAGAUAUGUGGAGGAACACCGAUGGCGAAGGCAGCCCCCUGGGCCGAUACUGACGCUCAGGCACGAAAGCGUGGGGAGCAAACAGGAGUAGAUACCCUGGUAGUCCACGCCCUAAACUAUGUCAACUAGUUGUCGGGAAAGCAAUUUCUUGGUAACGAAGCUAACGCGUGAAGUUGACCGCCUGGGGAGUACGGUCGCAAGAUUAAAACUCAAAGGAAUUGACGGA